CAGUCGCCGCGGUAAUACGAAGGGGGCUAGCGUUGUUCGGAUUUACUGGGCGUAAAGGGCGCGUAGGCGGACUGAUAAGUCAGGGGUGAAAUCCCAAGGCUCAACCUUGGAACUGCCUUUGAUACUGUUUGUCUUGAGUUCGAGAGAGGUAAGUGGAACUGCGAGUGUAGAGGUGAAAUUCGUAGAUAUUCGCAAGAACACCAGUGGCGAAGGCGGCUCACUGGCCCGAUACUGACGCUGAGGCACGAAAGCGUGGGGAGCAAACAGGAUUAGAUACCCCCGUAGUCCCUGUCUCUUAUAC
rnacentral:rRNA from 1 species